GCACGGCGGCUGUCAUUUGCAGACACUGAAGAGUGCGCUAAUAGAAUCACAGCCCUCGUUAGCUACUGAAUAAAAGAUCAAUCACAGACUUUGAAAGCUCCUGCUACCAGCUUCCAGAGGAAACAAGAAAAAAAAAAAAGAGCGUGAGCAAGAGAGAAAGAUAUUUAGGAUCAUCGCUGAGAUUCUGAAUGGCCUCGCUGCAAGUUGCUUAAAUUACCUUUUCCACAACUGACUCCAACUGUAAUACUCAGAGGAACUUGUUAAGCCUGCCUUCAAGAGCAGCAUUCUAAUAUAUGACUGCUAGACCCUGGUCAAAAGUUCAUAAUGUGCAUAUGUAAAAAGGUACUAAAUUGCCUGAGGGCUAAAACCAGAGGAGUUUAAUUGUAGCAAAAUGCUGAAAAUGGUCUGUUGAGGGUCCUUCCAUUGGGAUACUGCUGGCUCUAGCUGAUUGAAGUACAGAACAUAAAAGUCUUACAACAAUAUUUCCUUAAAUGCUGGGGAAACUGCCAGCAGUUGGUAUUGCAUGAAUGUUGUGGUUAAAGAAAAACAUUUUCCUCCC
rnacentral:lncRNA from 1 species